UACGGAGGGGGCUAGCGUUGUUCGGAAUUACUGGGCGUAAAGCGCACGUAGGCGGCUUUGUAAGUUAGAGGUGAAAGCCCGGGGCUCAACUCCGGAAUUGCCUUUAAGACUGCAUCGCUAGAAUCAUGGAGAGGUGAGUGGAAUUCCGAGUGUAGAGGUGAAAUUCGUAGAUAUUCGGAAGAACACCAGUGGCGAAGGCGACUCACUGGACAUGUAUUGACGCUGAGGUGCGAAAGCGUGGGGAGCAAACAGG
rnacentral:rRNA from 1 species